rnacentral:lncRNA from 1 species
UUGAAUUUUUUUGUGUAUUACAAUCCGAGGUGGCAAUAUGGGUCCACUUGGCAAACUACCACCUAAUCUUUUUUUGAGAAAAACUGCCACCUAAUCAAGUGGGUGCCAUGGUUCAUCUAGUUGUUUUUCUGUUUGUUUUUCCUAUAUGUAUUAAGCCCAGUUUUUUUAGAAGAACUUCAGCCUAGCUGUACGCUGGCCCAAUUUAGAACCAGCCCGCCCAAUUCGAAAUAAGUCAGAAAAAGAAAAAAAGGCCCAAUUUAGAACCAGCCCGCCCAAUUCGAAAUAAGUCAGAAAAAGAAAAAAAUAGUGUGAGGGUUUGAACCUAGGACGCCAGCAGUUUGAGUUGUGUCCUUGCCAACUGAGCUACAAUGUUGUUUUGGUUUAAUGUGGUAGUUUUUACUAAUUUAUUCUUAUAUUUGUAUAAUUUCCAAGGAACAAAAUCGCCAAUGGUGGAAUAGAACAUGUCUGAGUGGUGCCCAAGGUUAGCAGUUGCGCCACUCUUUAUUUUGAAAUCAUUCUGGUUCUUAAAUUUCAGUUCAAACUUGUCCUUUUUCAAAAUUUCAAAUUUCAAAUAUUUGAAUUUUAUCAAAUGAAGAAAUGGUCAAAAUAAAAUUUGU